UUCUCCCAAGUUAUCGAGGCCUCUACGA
rnacentral:sRNA from 1 species